AUUGAACGCUGGCGGCAUGCCUUACACAUGCAAGUCGAACGGCAGCACGGGAGCAAUCCUGGUGGCGAGUGGCGAACGGGUGAGUAAUAUAUCGGAACGUGCCCGGUCGUGGGGAUAACGUAGCGAAAGCUACGCUAAUACCGCAUACGAUCUACGGAUGAAAGCGGGGGAUCGCAAGACCUCGCGCGAUUGGAGCGGCCGAUAUCAGAUUAGGUAGUUGGUGAGGUAAAGGCUCACCAAGCCGACGAUCUGUAGCUGGUCUGAGAGGACGACCAGCCACACUGGGACUGAGACACGGCCCAGACUCCUACGGAGGCAGCAGUGGGGAAUUUUGGGACAAUGGGCGCAAGCCUGAUCCAGCAAUGCCGCGUGAGUGAAGAAGGCC
rnacentral:rRNA from 1 species